rnacentral:rRNA from 1 species
CCUACGGGUGGCAGCAGUGGGGAAUAUUGGACAAUGGGCGAAAGCCUGAUCCAGCCAUGCCGCGUGUGUGAAGAAGGCCUUCGGGUUGUAAAGCACUUUCAGUGGGGAAGAAAGCCUUGGGGCUAAUACCCUCGAGGAAGGACAUCACCCACAGAAGAAGCACCGGCUAACUCCGUGCCAGCAGCCGCGGUAAUACGGAGGGUGCGAGCGUUAAUCGGAAUUACUGGGCGUAAAGCGCGCGUAGGCGGUCUGAUAAGCUGGUUGUGAAAGCCCCGGGCUCAACCUGGGAACGGCAUCCGGAACUGUCAGGCUAGAGUGCAGGAGAGGAAGGUAGAAUUCCCGGUGUAGCGGUGAAAUGCGUAGAGAUCGGGAGGAAUACCAGUGGCGAAGGCGGCCUUCUGGACUGACACUGACGCUGAGGUGCGAAAGCGUGGGUAGCAAACAGGAUUAGAUACCCGGGUAGUC